GCAAGUCGAGGGGUAGCAGGAUUAAGCUUGCUUAAUUGCUGACGACCGGCGCACGGGUGCGUAACGCGUAUGCAACCUACCUUAUACUGGGGUAUAGCCCGGAGAAAUUCGGAUUAAUCCCCCAUAGUACUGUUUUACCGCAUGGUAAGACAGUUAAAGCAUUGCGGUAUAAGAUGGGCAUGCGUCCUAUUAGCUAGAUGGUGAGGUAACGGCUCACCAUGGCUACGAUAGGUAGGGGGCCUGAGAGGGUGGUC
rnacentral:rRNA from 1 species